UCCCUCUCCCUCUCCCUCUCCCUCCUUUCCUCCUCCCACUCUAACUCAAUGGGAGAAUCAAAAAAGCCUGAGCAGCAGCCCUGCAGAAAGAAAAGUGGCACCAGUAUUGUUGCCUCCCUCAUACCCUCAAGGUCCCAGACGUGAUAGUCCUCUAGGAGCUCUGAAGAGUGGAGACCAGGGUAGAUGAUGGAUCACCGGGUAAACCAUGAAGAAUGCCGGGAUAUGGAGCAGCAGUAGUGACCACACCUACUGGGACAACCCAUCUUGUCACUGUCCUAUUAGACAAGGUCCAAGAUAGGCUGUUUGAAAGUACCUCACCUGGGAAGGCAAAUGCACCCCCAUGGACAAGAACUUCACAUGAAUUUUCAAGAUUGGCAGUGAACUUCACAGUGGAUGUGAUCUCACGGCUUAUAGCUGCUGAAGAAGAUUGACAUGAAAACAAGAAAUGUACCCAGGAUUCCAGGAUACUCAAUCCAAGAUGUAAGGGGAAGGAGAAUCCAACAAAAGGAUAUUCUCAAGUGUCCAAUUCACCUGGCCGCUGGUGCAUCUAGAAAGAAGGCUGGAAAAAGGAAGUGCUAUUGAUUGAACCUUAAGUCUCAGGACUCCUUUUAGUGCUGAUGCAGAACUUCUGUUUCAUUUUGACCUUAACUCUGAGUUUCCAUAUCCAGUUUUGCUUCUGAUUCUGGGUUGGACCCAGUGGAGGUCCCCCCAUGCUGGGCUUUGGCCUGGGCUUUGGCAGGCCUCACCCUAGGUAGAGCCUUUCUCUGCAUUACAGGCAAAAUAGGUGAGAAGGGCACUCUGGGUCCCUAUAGCCAGCCUAGGAAUGUCAUUUCUCUAGCUCAGUUUCCUUAAUUUCUUAUUCACUGGAAAUUAUAGAACUCAUCCCACCUAAAGCCUUACCAUAGAUAGGUGAGUAGAUGAAUUGCUAUGGUAACCUUGAAUCCAGCCAUAAUUACACACAGAGCUCUGUGUGAGAGGGAUUAAGGAUGCCAAAGUCCUAGACACCAGUCCAACGAAGGGGAAAGGUUCUCUAGGGCUCUGUCUGGGAACUUGAGUCUUGUAGGAUGUGAGGAUAAACAAUGUCAAGUCCACAAGAAGCCCUGGAUGUACAGGAUGGGUCAGCUGGACUCUGCCUGGUUAGAGUAGAGAGAAAAGAUGAACAGGAAGUCAAGAGGCCACUUCCUGUAUUGGAAGGGUACUUCCAACAGGGAGAGUAAAGUAGUGAGGGAGAAAGAAACAUUGCAGGGCAAGGGAAGCUUUUGGGUAAGGGCAGAAAUACGCAGGGCAUGCCAAGGAGUGGGGACAGCAACCCUAUGUCAAACACCCAUCCUGAAUAUGCUCUUGGACUUCUCGAAUUUGUACAUUUUAUUUCCUCCUUCAGUGUGCCAAUCCCUCACCCUUCACUUGGUUGAGCAUAUUCCAACAGUAGCAAAGGCAGGGACAGUUUCCCUCAUAGCUGCCUAUAUAGAAAUACUUGUAUGUCUCCUAUACUGUCCCUCCCCACACCUUUGCAAAUCAGUGAUCCAGCUCUCUUCCAAAGUGGCCCAUCUGGGUUGGAAAAAAUGUGUUUUCUUCUUGCUUCCUCAAUACAACAAACUGCUCCCAGAUAUUUUCCUUCUGCUCCUCAUGAAAGAGUCCAAAAGGUCCAAUGACAGAUGCUUUGCCCACCCACAUAGAAAGAAAAGAGCCCUAUGAUUGAACAAAGUCAUUCUGAGCAGCUAUAGAUUAAAGAUUGAGAAACUGAGAAAGGAAAAUAACAAUUCUCAUUUUCUUAAAGUUUUUUAUUCAAUAAUAAACUCUCAGGCUGGAGGGGACCCUGGCCAUCUUCAUUAUUCCUAGAGUCAGUGAGAAAAUCAUAUGAGGAUUUACUGAGACAGACACUGCAACCUGCCUGUGGACACUUCCUCAAAUUUUCCUACUUGAGGGAGCACAGUUUGAUGAUGUCUAGCCAAGGUCUUCUCUGCUUUCAGAAAGGUGACUCUAUUGUCAGGAAUCUUUAAAAGCACCAAGUAGCUGACUCUAUUCCAGGCACAGAUUCCAACAUCCCUUAGCAUACAGAAAUCCUGCUACCUCGUAGCCACUUUUGUUUCCAGCUUCAAGGGUUAACAAGUUUAAAAAUGGUAUAUAUUUAAGGUAUACAGCAUAAUCAUUUGAAAUGCAUACAUAAUCAUCCUGUGGUGUCUGUAGAAAGCUAAUUCCAGAGUCCUCAAGAAUAUCAAAAACUGCCAAUGAUCAAGUUUCUUACAAAAAGUGACCUAUUAGUUGCAUCUAAACCAUGCACAACCUCCCGUAUCCUUAUCUCUACAUCACUUAUAAUGCCCAAUAAAAUGCAAAUAGUUGUUAUAUUUUAUUGUUUAGGGAAUGACAAGAAAAAAAGAUCUGUUCAUAUUCAGUACAAAUGCAUUUUUUUCAUCCAUAGUUGAAUCCAAGUAUUUGGAAGCUUCAGAUACAAAAGGCUGACUGUGCAUUAUGAAAUGAUGACCACAACAACCAAGCUAGUUAACAUAUCCAUCACCUUCCAUAGUACUGUCGUGUGUGUGUGUGUGUGUGUGUGUGUGUGUGAAUGUGUGGUGAGAACACUUAAGAUAGAUUUACUGUUAGCAAAUUUCAAGGCUCUGCUAACAUAAACUACAGCCACUAUACUGUCCAUUAGAUCUUCAGAACUUAUUUAUCCCACAUAACUGAAACUUUGUACCCUUUGACAAACAUCUCCUCAUUACUAUGGCCUUUGGCUCCUGAUAACACAAUUCUGCUCUCUCUUUCUACUAUAUGUGGUUAAUUUUUUAGAUAUCACGUGUGAGAUCAUGCCACAUUUGUCUUUCUGUGUAUGACUUAUUUCAUUUAG